CCUAGUUUCCCUGGUGAGGCUGCACAGGCCACUUCGUAGGUUGCCGAGACUUCUUUGUGGCUUUACAUAGUUUUAAGUCCACCUCUACCAUCUUGGGAGAUUGCACAGACCACAUCUACAACCCAUCAAGGCUUUAUGGGAUAUAUUUGUCACCUCCCAGAGUUGUGUGGGUCAUCAAUGAAACCAUCUAAGUUUCCAAGUUCCACCUCUGCCCCUCCUAAUUUUGCACAGUUAUCCCUGAAGCAACAUGAGGUAUGUGGGUGCUUCAGAGACAGUGGAAUGGUCCUCCAUCCCCCAGGUAUAUAUUUAACAAGCCAGUGGACGGACAUGCUCUGGUCAUCUUCGGGGUGAAACUGGACUCCCGCCGGAUCCCUAUCCAAAGCUCCCUGCAGAGGGUGGAGGUGACUGAAUCCCAGCUCCCCAACCUCCAAUUCACUCCACUUUCUAUCACUCCCCAAGAAACCAUAUCCUCUUCCUCUCUCUUACCUUAAGAACAGAUCUCGGAAGGCCUGGGCCACGUCUCCCUCCAGAAGGAUGUGCUGAUGGCUGCAUUCCAAGGCCCAGAAAAGGACUUCAUUGGAGGAUCAAUCUUUGUCAAUGUCACCGUGUUCUCCUCAGGGGGUGAGAUGGUGCAAGCCGAGACCUCAGGGGUGAAGAUUGUCCAGAGCCCAUACAACAUCAAGUUCACCAGGACACCCCAGUAUUUCAAGCCAGGAAUGCCCUUCCACUUUCGGGUCUUCGUCUCAAAUCCUGAUGGAUCCCCAGCUAACAGAGUCCUUGUCCAGUCCCAAAACUACAAAGUGUGCACCUCAACUGAGGGAUUGGCCACUCUGACCAUCAACACAGAUGCAAAUCUGGACAAGCUCCCCAUCGAGGUGAAAACUGAGGAAUCUCUUCAGCCAGAGGAGCAGGCUUCAGCCAAGAUGACAGCUUGGCCUUACUUGACUCAAGAUGGGUCAGGAAACUUCCUGCACAUCGAAGUAAAGACAUUAGGCGGCACAGAGGUUGGCAGCAGCAUCCAGUUGAGCCUCAAUACAAAGCAUCAGGACCCUAAAACCAAGGACCGGAUUACUCACUUCACCAUCCUGGUCCUGAGUAAGGGCCAGAUUGUGAGUGCCAGACAUCAGUUAAAAAGCCAGGGGAGUGUCUACACGUCAGCCAUUAUUGAUGUGACUUCAGCGAUGCUGCCCUCCUUCCGCAUUCUGGCAUUUUAUUUACUUCCCAGAGGAGUGAGCCAGGAUCCUGAGUUGGUGGCUGAUUCCAUAUGGAUUGAUGUGAAUGACAGAUGCAUAGGGACGCUGAAAGUUGGCUUGAAGAAUGAUAGAUUCUUCCCAUCUUUGGAGCCCAACAGCCAAGUGGAACUGAAGGUGACAGGUGAUGCAGAAGCCACAGUGGGGCUGGUGGCUGUGGACAAGGCUGUCUAUGUUUUGAACAGCAAACACAAGCUCACUCAGAAGAAGACUGGCCCUGCCCCCAGGACCCUCCUCCUAACCGCCAUCGCCGCUCCCUGAAGAGGCUGGAGACAAAGAGGAAUGCAGUGAACAAGUUUAAGACAGAGCUGGAGCAAAAGUGCUGUGAGGCUGGGCUCCGGGAAAGCCCAGUGGAGCUGUCCUGUGAGGAGAGGACCUGGCAUGUCCGCCAUGGUCCAGCCUGUGUGGCUGCUUUCCUGGACUGCUGCCAUCUAUCUGAGACCCUGACUCGGGAGGCUCGAGAGGAUCAGCUGCGUCUGGGGACAAUGGAUGAAGAGGAGGACUUCGACGACCUCUUCCUGGAUGACAUGCCGGCGCGGACCUUGUUCCCUGAGAGUUGGCUCUGGAGGAAGUUCACUCUGCCAAAGAGUGAAUCGGGCAUCUCCCAUUACCCCAUCUCUGUGAACGUGCCAGAUUCCAUCACCACAUGGCAGUUUGUGGCGGUCAGCCUCAAGGCUGGACAAGGUCUCUGUGUCUCGGACCCCUUUGAGCUGACAGUUAUGAAAUCGUUCUUUGUGGACCUUAAGUUGCCCUCCUCUGUGGUCAGGAAUGAGCAGGUCCAGAUCCAAGCCGUGUUGUACAAUUUCAGGGAUCGCCAGGCCAAGGUCCGAGUGGAGUUCCCCCACAAGGAGCCGCUGUGCAGUGCGUCAAAGCCAGGAGCACCAUCCCGCCAGGCAGGGGGUCAGAUCCAGCAAACGUCCUACAGCAUCGUCUUGGAACCCCAAGGUCAGACCCAGACAAAACUGGUGCCAAGACAGGAGUUCUUGAACAUGGUACCCGACACGGAGGCGGAAGUGUUUAUCAGUGUUCAAGGCUACACUCGGAUGUUGACCCACCGGAGUUCAGACGGCACCUACCACACCUCCAAGGGGAACCCAGGAAGCACCUGGCUCACAAGCUACGUGUUCCGUGUCUUUGCCCUGGCCCACUCUACAGUGACGACCCAAGUGCUUAGCCUGUCCUCUCUCUGUGACAUGGCCAACUGGAUCAUCACCAACAGGCAGGCGGAGGACGGGCACUUCCUGGAGGAGGGUCCCGUGGUCAUGACAUCCAUGCAGGGUGGCUACCAAGGCUCCGAGGAGGAUGUAUCCCUCACAGCUCUCGUCCUGAUAGCCCUGAAUGAGGGAAAGGAGUUGUGCAACCAGAAGAAUUUGAUGGUCAGCAUCGAGAGAGCCCGUGGCUUCCUGGAGAGAAAACUUCCUGACAUUCAGACAACAUUUGCCAUAGCCAUAGCCUCCUACGCACUGGCCCUUGCCAACAGCUCCCAAGCCAACGACCGCCUGGACAGCUUUGCUAGCCCUAGUGAGUGUGGGAUGCUUCUUAGUCAACCUCAGUCAUGGAGUGGGGAGGGGGUGAUCUCAAAUCCAGCAAUGUGUCAUUCAUCACUUAGUGUUUCCUGAGCAUCCACUGUGUAUCAACUCUUGAGCUCAGACCCCGUGAGACCAAGACAAAACCCACUGGCCGGUGGAUGAGCAGAACCUCGGCUCCCUGUACACCAUUGAGGCCACAGCCUAUGCGCUCAUGCAGAAGCUGGAGAGGCGCCGGUACAAUGAGACGCACGCCAUCGCCAAGUGGCUACUAGAGAAGCGGGAGCUGGGAGGAGGCUUCGGGUCCACCCAGACCACGGUGGUGGCCCUUGAAGCUCUGACCCGCUUCCGCGAAGAUGUCCCCUUCCAGGGCGUCCAGGAUUUCCACAUCCAGGUCAGCGCCCCCAAGAAAGCCCUGAAUGUGAAUUGGCACAUUGAUCACAACAAUGCCUACCAACAGCGGUCAGCAAAGUUCCUUGCCCAGGAUGACCUAGAGAUCAAAGCCAGUGGCAACGGGAGAGGCACCAUCUCGAUCCUGACCAUGUACCACAAGUCUCCAGAGUCCUGGGAGGACAACUGCAACCUGUACCACCUGAAUGUGACUCUCCACAGUGUCUUAGAAGAAAAUAAAAAGGGAGACGAGACCUUUCGGCUCAGGAUGGAAACAAGGUUCCAGAACAAUCGAGAGGCCACAAUGACCAUCAUGGAGGUCUCCCUGCUCACUGGCUUCUACCCCAACCAGGAUGACCUCAAACAGCUCACAAGUGAUGUGGAGAGGUACGCCUUUCAGUACGAAACCAAGACAAGUACCAGCGACAGCACCGUUGUCCUCUACCUGGAAAAGCUCUCCCAUGAGAAAAACACAGUGCUGGGCUUUCGGGUUCACAGGAUGCUGCAGGCGGAGUUCCUGCAGGCCGCCCUGGUCACUAUCUACGACUAUUACGAGCCUUGACAGUGCCCAUCCCUGCAGAAGCCCAGUGGCCAACUGAGGCAGGAGGAGCUCCAGACAACAGCAUGUGAGGCAGGCGUGGAUUUUGUGUACAAGACAAAGCUGGAAUCUGUGGAGGUCUCUGCCUCCAACCCUUAUGUCUAUUACAACAUGCAGCUCGAAGACAUCAUUAAGAGUGGCACAGAUCCUGCCACACCCCUUGCCAUGAAGAAAUUCAUCUCCCACGCCACCUGCCACGACUCCCUGGGGUUGCAAGAACAGGAAUCGUACCUUAUCAUGGGCCAGACAUCAGACCUGUGGAGAAUCAAAUCUGAUUACAGCUACGUUCUGGGCAGGGAGACGUUCCUCAUGCUUUGGCCAGCAGAUGGAGAUGCCAGCAAGAAAGAAUUGCGGAAGCAACUGGACGAAUUUUCGGAAUAUAUGCGCACCCAUGGCUGCGAGUCCUGAGCCUCCUCUGCUUUCAGGGAGGUGUCACCAGGCAGCUCUGGGCCACUGGGUUUAACCCCAAAUAAAGAGCACAGGAUAUCACACCCAAACCCUGGACACUUGUCCCUGUUGCACCUUUCACCAGGGGACCUGCACAACCUGCUCUGGCAUGACGUGGACCUGUCUCCUCCCUCCUCCCCCGCUACUUGGGUGGCUGAGGUGGGAGGCUCACUCGAGCCCAGGAGUUGGAGGCUGUAGUGAGCUAUGCUCAAUACAUUUGGCUCCGUUCUGACCACACUGGCCUCCUUUGCAUCCUUCCAGCAUCCACCUCCGUGGGGAGAUGAUUCCCAGCUCCAGGCUUUUGCACCCACCAUUCCUCUCCCAGGUGCACCCCUCCCCCUAAAGUCGGCUUAGCUUGAAUCGUUCCCUUUUCUGGGCUCUGUUUAAUUGUCACCUCUGGCAUGGUGGCUCAUGCCUGUAAUCCCAGCAUUUUGGGAGGCCGAGGUGGGUGGAUGUUAAAUGGGUGUUUUCCCUGCCCCACAAUGUCAGCUCCUUAAAGUCGGGGUUGUAUCUGUCUUAUUUGCUGUGGUAUUCCCUGUUUUUACAGCAGGAGCUGGAACUCAGUAGGUGCUCAGGAAAUGAGUGUUGACUCAGUGAAUAGACGGAUGGAUGAAUGAGUCAGUGAAUAAAUGGAUGGCUGAGUUUGGUGCCCACAUUCUGAGCUUGGCCCUAAUGGUUCACUUGCUGUGUAACUUCAAGCAGCUUAUAGUGAUGGAAGCUUUGUUUUGGUUUUGGUUUGGUUUGGUUUGG